CGGGACAUAGCGCAGCCUGGUAGCGCACUACUCUGGGGGAGUAGGGGUCGUGGGUUCGAAUCCCGCUGUCCCGACCA
rnacentral:tRNA from 6 species